GCGGGGGCCGCCGGGAUUUGUAGUCCCGCGGCCACGCCCAGCACUACCGGUCCCAGGGGGCCUUGCGCUCGCGGCCGCGGGGUCCGGCGCCGCGCUCGGGCUUCCGCGGCAGAGGGCGUGGCCUCGUGCGAGCCUCGGGGCGGCGUGGGUCGCGGGCGCGUGCGAGCCGCUGCGGGGUUCGGGGAGUGGAAUGCGGUCCGGGCCCUGCCCUUCAUUUUUUUCAUACUUGGCCUCCGAACGUCUGCGGAGCGCCCAUUGUGUGUCAAGCCCAGACCCUGAAAUCGGGCAUCUUGAGGGAACGGGGCGGCGCGGGGUGUGCGGUCGGCGGCCGGCGGCGGUGGCCCGCACGAGACGUCGGCUAAGCCGACUCCAGCCGGGAGCACGUCAUCGAAGACGGGGUUCUUAAACCCCUGAAGCCCGGGAGAGGGCAGAGAACCCGACGCGGCAGAUGAGGCUUGGCUGCAUCCGGGUGAUGUUCAGAAUGCGUGCGGGUCGUGUGCCAGAGGCCGACGCGGGGUCUGAGGCCGAAGGGGCAGCUCCGCCGCCGGCCAUCGUCUCCCACCUGGCCCGGGCAGCCGCCGCCUCACUGCUCUCCCUGCCUCCGGAGUUCACGCCCCGGGCGGCAGCCAGAGGCAGACGGUAGAAACCCAGUGAGGCUCGUGUCUCCUGCAAACCCCUGCGGGAACCUGCGGAGCCCCCACACAGCUGCCUCCCGCCGCCCUUAGCCACUCCCUCCUCAUGCUCACUGCACAGUGCGGCACCCCGGAGCCCUGGGGUCGCUGUGGCCGGCCUGGGCGUGCGGCACCCCGGAGCCCUGGGGUCGCUGUGGCCGGCCUGGGCGUGCGGCACCCCGGAGCCCUGGGGUCGCUGUGGCCGGCCUGGGCGUGCGGCACCCCGGAGCCCUGGGGUCGCUGUGGCCGGCCUGGGCGUGCGGCACCCCGGAGCCCUGGGGUCGCUGUGGCCGGCCAGGGCGUGCGGCACCCCGGAGCCCUGGGGUCGCUGUGGCCGGCCUGGGCGUGCGGCACCCCGGAGCCCUGGGGUCGCUGUGGCCGGCCUGGGCGUGCGGCACCCCGGAGCCCUGGGGUCGCUGUGGCCGGCCUGGGCGUGCGGCACCCCCGGCCACUUUGCACCUAUUUCCUCUGCCGCAGAGCCCACGCUCCUCUCCCCGUCCAGAUGUCAGUCCCCUCUUCCGGGCAGCCUUCCCUGACUGCUCUGUUCUGGGUUCCUGACCACGGAGCCCGGCCUCCUGUCCCUCUUCCCCGUUUCACUGCCCUUCAGAGUACUGUGUUGGGAACACCCUCUAUGGCUGUUGCCUUACCUUGUUGUGAUCUCCCUUCCUCACGAGCAUGAAAGCCCCGAGAAACCUGUUCUCGUCUGUUCCCGGAUGCAUCUUCAGCACCCACGGCAGAACUCAGUCAAUAUUUGCUGCAUGGAUGAAUUCACUUCCUCACAAGCCGACAAAUAAAUGCUGUGUUGCAUGCUCGGAAUCCAGAGAAGGGACAGGCUUCCACCUGAGCAGCUGCACCUGGCUCCCAGGUGCUCCCGGACACCUCUCACUGGCUCUUGACAGGCCACGCCCCACGCAGGAGCCCAGGGACCUUUGAAAUACCAGCCCCCAUUUCUCAUCCCAGGCAGGACACUGACAUCCCUAAACAUGCCAGGCCUCUUCCCGCCUCAGGACCUUUGCACUUGCUGCUCCCUUUGGACUUCUCUUUUUUUAAUAAAUUCAUCUGCAAAGA